rnacentral:rRNA from 1 species
UACGAGAGCCCCAAGCGUUAUCCGGAAUCAUUGGGCGUAAAGGGUAGGUAGGUGGUCUCAUUUGUCUGGGGUGAAAGCCUCGAGCUUAACUCGAGAAGUGCCCCGGAAACGGUGAGACUGGAGUAUUGGAGAGGGUCGUGGAAUUCCCGGUGUAGCGGUGAAAUGCGUAGAGAUCGGGAGGAACACCAGAGGCGAAGGCGGCGACCUGGACAAUUACUGACACUCAACUACGAAAGCGUGGGGAGCAAACAGG